CGACUACGUCACCGACGACCCUUCUUCCCUUUCAACGGAGCUUCCAGGCAAGCCCCCCCUUUGAUCAUCCCGAUAUCGUCCAUUCCAUUUUCUCAUGCUUGCAUUAGAUUUUGCUACUGUUAUUGAUUGCUCCUAUUCUGAUGCAUAGCCUGCUUUUGUACCUGCUGUUGUACCUUACUUGCUUAUCCUAAACUGCUUAGUAUAGGUUGGUUAGUGAUACAUCAGUGACCCCCACUUGUCAUUGUUGCCCCUGCUUCGUCAUCGACACCUUGAUCAACGUGAUCGACGACCAGAGCUCGACACCUCACAUCACAUCACGCCCCUUUUGUUGCUUGACUCUGCAGAGUUACCAUCGAGUGCCGAGGGUGGUACCUCAUACAUCACUCUUGAUGAGAUCUCUAUAGUGUAGCUAUUCGGUCGUAGUCAUCGAGGGUGAUUCCUCCUUGACCACUCCCGAUAACGACUCUGUCGUGCAACCCCUCAAGUGUGAACCUCGAGGGUGGUUCCUCUUACGUUCACCUUGAUGAUUACAUUGAGUGGAAUCCAUCGAGGGUGAUUCCUCCGGUUUUCCCCUUGAUGUUUGGACACACGGUUACCCGGACUUUACUUGAGACCAUUGUUGAAGUUGGGUCGGCCCUGAGGGGUACCCGCGAGUUGACGUGAAAGUCGGGCGGGCCCGUAGAGCACCCGCAAGUUUUCCACGUGGCACGACCGGGCAAUCUGGGCCCUUGCCGUAAGUCCAUGAGACGGGGCGACGAGGUCACCUUAUCGUGAGUCUCUGCUCGUUUCUGCGAGCCCCCAAUGCACUAACAGGUUUGGGUAUUUGUUCUGAGUUGGCCUCUGGCCUUUACGCACUAACUACCACGCGAGAAUAGUUAUGGGCCUCGACGUCGCAGUAUCAGUCGAAGCUUUGUCAGACGUCCAGUUCAGCAUUGUGGCACGGUCGGAUCGUGCUGGCCAUUCGAGGCGGUGCUGGUAUCCACCCUGCACACAACGACCAGUGCUGCGGGCGAUGGGCCCAAGACCCCAGAGUGCUUAGGAUGUAAACCGACGGGGACCUCUCUACUGAGCCUAGGUAGGGCUGCGACGUGUUGAUCUUUCGAGGCCGGGCAUUGACCCCAGCAAGGUGUGUUCGGCCAGAGUGAUCGAGCGUGUUGGGUAACAUGGUGCACCCCUGCAGGGAAGAUAUAUUUUCGAAUACCGUGUCCACGGUAAUGGACGUUCAGACUUAUAUCCUGAUCUUAUAUAACUAGAAAUGGAUACUUGAGAUAUGUGAUGGGUAUGUGGCUCCGGGAUUGCUUUCUCGCAGGGAGUCGAGGAAGGAUCUCUGGGCGUUGUUGCUACAACAUGUUUGUUAAUUAUAAACUGCUAUUCUUUACUCUUCUACAUGCUGCAAGAUGCUUGGAGCUGCGUGAAGAUGCUAGUCUUCGAUAUGCUAGGCCUUCCCCCCUCUAUUCUAGCAUUCUGCAGUUCAGUCCACAGAUACAAACCUUCCAUUUGAUACCAGUGCAUACAUAGUAUAGAUCUGAUGCUUGCGAGUAUUUUGGAUGAGUACUCACGGUUGCUUUGCUACCCCUUUUCCCCCUUCUUCUUUCCGGUUGAUGCAACCAGAUGGCGGAUCCCUGGAGCCAGAUGCCAUUGACGACGGAUACUACUACGUGGAGACCGCCGACAACCAGGAGUAGUUUAGGAGGUCCCAGGCAGGAGGCCUUGCCUCUUCGAUCAUUUUUGCUGUUUGUGCUAGCCUUCUUAAGGCAUCCUCGCUUAAGUUAUGUCUGUACUCGGAUAUUGUUGCUUCUGCUGACUCUUGUGUAUUGAGCUAUGUAUUCG
rnacentral:lncRNA from 1 species